GGCAGCGUGGCCGAACGGCCUAAGGCGCUAGUUUAAGGCACCGGCCUCUUAGAAGGCGUGGAUUCAAAUCCCACCGUUGCCA